UGUGGAUGUAUGAGCCCUUUCGGGUGUUGACUGUUCUCGACUAGAUAUAAUGGUUCAAUUGCAUUAGGGAAGAUGUAACUACUUUAUUAGCAUGAGAUGCUAUUGGGUGGAGAUGGGGUCGGGCCCAAGAACUGUUAGAUGAAGAUCCCAAUGAUGGCUUCACUUUCACAAGAAUGGUGGGUCUGACUUAACUAAGAAAUGAUGCCAA
rnacentral:lncRNA from 1 species